rnacentral:lncRNA from 13 species
AUGGAGGAGUUUGGCUCUCAUAACACCCUGCAAGCAGCUAUUUCCUCCCAGGACCCUGCAUUUGACAGAGUCCUGGUAAAGUCCUUGACCCAGCAGCUGGUACAAGGAUGCAAGGAGGCGUCAAGACCAGCUUCUGCUGCAACAAACCCAUCAGACCAGGCUGAGACAGAGAGGGGGGCUGAGCAGAAAGCAAGAAGGAGCUUCCUUUGCUUUUCAAUGACCAAACUCAGGAUCAACUUCAAGCGUUCCAAGAGAGGAAACAAAAAGGACUGCCAUUCAGUCCAGGAACAGACUGAAAUUCCCUCUACUGAUGCACAUUGCAUAGUUCCCGUUGGAGAGGUUUCUCCCUCCAUAUCUCAGCCUGUCAAAAAACGAUCCUUGAUUGUCAGGGUCUUUUCAGCAAUGAUGAAGCCAUUCAGGCGCUUCAUCAAGAAGAACCUGUAACCUGUUACGCUGCAUGAAGAACUACUUUUGUAACAGCAAGACUUUUGACAAGAGGAAUUUCUGCAUGUCUACCCUUUCAAAGUCUAUUUGGUCAAAUAAAUGCAAAUUAUUUUACAAGAAUUUCAAGUGUUUUGGAAGAUUGGUAAUACUGAAGCAGAUUUUCUCAGAGAAAUGCACUAGUUCCUCCUUGGUUACAUAUUUAUUGUGCAGUUUUUUGAGUUGGCAGGACUUGGGGCAGCAGGUAGCCUUGUGGUUAGAGCGUUGGGCCAGUAACUGAAAGGUUGCUAGGUCAGAUCCCUGAGCUAACCAUGUAAAAAUAUGACGUUCUGCUCCUGAAC